rnacentral:rRNA from 1 species
UGGUAGUNCACGCCGUAAACGAUGAGUGCUAGGUGUUAGGCCCUUUCCGGGGCUUAGUGCCGGAGCUAACGCAAUAAGCACUCCGCCUGGGGAGUACGACCGCAAGGUUGAAACUCAAAGGAAUUGACGGGGGCCCGCACAAGCGGUGGAGCAUGUGGUUUAAUUCGAAGCAACGCGAAGAACCUUACCAGGUCUUGACAUCCCGAUGCUAUUCUUAGAGAUAGGAAGUUACUUCGGUACAUCGGAGACAGGUGGUGCAUGGUUGUCGUCAGCUCGUGUCGUGAGAUGUUGGGUUAAGUCCCGCAACGAGCGCAACCCUUAUUGUUAGUUGCCAUCAUUAAGUUGGGCACUCUAGCGAGACUGCCGGUAAUAAACCGGAGGAAGGUGGGGAUGGCGUCGAAUCAUCAUGCCCCUUAUGACCUGGGCUACACACGUGCUACAAUGGUCGGUACAACGAGUUGCGAGCCGGUGACGGCAAGCUAAUCUCUGAAAGCCGAUCUCAGUUCGGAUUGGAGGCUGCAACUCGCCUCCAUGAAGUCGGAAUCGCUAGUAAUCGCGGAUCAGCACGCCGCGGUGAAUACGUUCCCGGGCCUUGUACACACCGCCCGUUACACCACGAGAGUUUGUAACACCCGAAGUCGGUGAGGUAACCUUUUAGGGGCCAGCCGCCUAAG